rnacentral:misc_RNA from 1 species
UUAAGUUCAGCGGGUAUCCCUACCUGAUCCGAGGUCAGCCAUAGAAAGUUAGGGGUUCUGGCGCGUACCAUCCGAUUUCUAUAGCGAGAAGAGUUACUACGCUUAGAGCCGAAGGGCACUGCCACUGAUUUUAAGAGCUGCUAGGUAGCAUGCUCCAACACCAAGCUAGGCUUGAGGGUUAUAAUGACGCUCGAACAGGC